rnacentral:lncRNA from 1 species
CGCACCGACAACACCCCCCACCCUCCCCGGCACCAACACCCCCACGACAGCCCCCGCAGCACCAACACCCCCACACACAGCCUGCCCAGGAGCAGCUCUGCUCCAUCCCAACACCCCCAGCACAACACCCACGUGGUGCAGCACUGCGCCCGGCGUGGCAGCGCCGCUACCAGCAUCCCCAGUAUGUGUGCCCCACACCAGCAUCCCCCACACCAGCAUCCCCAGUACUGCUGUGCCCCACACCAGUAUCCCCAGUAUCAGUGUGCCCCACACCAGUAUCCCCCACACCAGUAUCCCCAGUACCAGUAGCUCCCAGUCCCACCAUCAGCCCACUACCGGCAGCCCUCGGAUCCAGCAUUGCCCAGUACUGGUCUGACUGGGAUCCAGCAUUGCCCAGUACUGGUCUGACUGGGAUCCAGCAUCCCCCAUGCUGGUCUGACUGGGAUCCAGCAUCCCUCGGUACCAGUAUGACUGGGAUCCAGCAUUGCCCAGUACUGGCAGCACUGGGAUCAUCACUGGGACCCAGCAUCCCUCCAUACUGGUAUCACUGGGACCCAGCAUCCCUCCAUACUGGUAUCACUGGGAUCCAGACCCCCAUACUGGUAUCACUGGUAUCCAGACCCCCAUACUGGUAUCACUGGGACCCAGCAUCCCCCCAUACCGGUGUAACUGGGAUCCAUCCCCCCAUACCGGUGUAACUGGGCUCCAUCCCCCCAUACUGGUGUAACUGGGACCCAGCCCCCCGUACGCCCCCCCACCCCGGCCCCCCCGUACC